UCACACAAGGAACCCAAAUUAAUCGUACGCGGCGUAAAGAGUGGACCCAUGAUUAUCACAGUAAUUAAGGCUAAAGCGUAACUGAGCUGUCAUAAGCUUAAGAUACACUUAAAAUCACCCUAAAAACGACCUUAACUCUUAUGAUCAAUUAAAUUCCACGAAAGCUAAGACACAAACUGGGAUUAGAUACCCCACUAUGCUUAGCCCUAAAUCUUGAUGCUUGCCCUACUAAAGCAUCCGCCUGAGAACUACGAGCACAAACGCUUAAAACUCUAAGGACUUGGCGGUGCCCCAAACCCACCUAGAGGAGCCUGUUCUGUAAUCGACAACCCACGAUACACCUGACCACUUCUUGCCAUAAACAGCCUACAUACCGCCGUCGCCAGCUCACCUUCACUGAGAGCACAACAGUGAGCACAAUCGCCCUAACCCCGCUAGUACGACAGGUCAAGGUAUAGCCUAUGAAGUGGAAGAAAUGGGCUACAUUUUCUAACUUAGAAAACCCUCACACAACGAAAAGGAGUAUGAAACAACUCCCAGAAGGCGGAUUUAGCAGUAAAGUGGGAUAAUAAAGCCCCCUUAAAACUGGCUCUGGGGCACGUACAUACCGCCCGUCACCCUCCUCACAAGCAUUAACCCCCCAUAAAUAAUACACCCACUCGCCAAAGAUGAGGUAAGUCGUAACAAGGUAAGUGUACCGG
rnacentral:rRNA from 1 species